rnacentral:rRNA from 2 species
CGUGCUAUACAUGCAAGUCGAGCGAACAGAUGAGAAGCUUGCUUCUCUGAUGUUAGCGGCGGACGGGUGAGUAACACGUGGGUAACCUACCUAUAAGACUGGGAUAACUCCGGGAAACCGGGGCUAAUACCGGAUAAUAUUUUGAACCGCAUGGUUCAAUAGUGAAAGACGGUUUCGGCUGUCACUUAUAGAUGGACCCGCGCCGUAUUAGCUAGUUGGUAAGGUAACGGCUUACCAAGGCGACGAUACGUAGCCGACCUGAGAGGGUGAUCGGCCACACUGGAACUGAGACACGGUCCAGACUCCUACGGGAGGCAGCAGUAGGGAAUCUUCCGCAAUGGGCGAAAGCCUGACGGAGCAACGCCGCGUGAGUGAUGAAGGUCUUCGGAUCGUAAAACUCUGUUGUUAGGGAAGAACAAAUUUGUUAGUAACUGAACAAGUCUUGACGGUACCUAACCAGAAAGCCACGGCUAACUACGUGCCAGCAGCCGCGGUAAUACGUAGGUGGCAAGCGUUAUCCGGAAUUAUUGGGCGUAAAGCGCGCGUAGGCGGUUUCUUAAGUCUGAUGUGAAAGCCCACGGCUCAACCGUGGAGGGUCAUUGGAAACUGGGAAACUUGAGUGCAGAAGAGGAGAGUGGAAUUCCAUGUGUAGCGGUGAAAUGCGCAGAGAUAUGGAGGAACACCAGUGGCGAAGGCGGCUCUCUGGUCUGUAACUGACGCUGAUGUGCGAAAGCGUGGGGAUCAAACAGGAUUAGAUACCCUGGUAGUCCACGCCGUAAACGAUGAGUGCUAAGUGUUAGGGGGUUUCCGCCCCUUAGUGCUGCAGCU